UUCGAGACCAGCAUGGCCAACAUGGUGAAACCCUGUCUCUACUAAAAAUAUGAAAAGUAGCCAGGUGUGGCUACUUUUACUUGGUGUAAUUUCAGCUCCUCAGGGGGCUGAGGCAGGAGAAUCAUUUGAACCCGGGAGGUGGAGGGUACAGUGAGCUGAGAUUGUGCCAUUGCACUCCAGCCUGGCUACAGAGCGAGACUCCAUCUCUCAAAAAAAAAAAAGAGAGAGAGAGACUGGGUUUCAGCCUCAGGCCUUGGGCUGGCAACAGUGUUUAGCCAGAAUGUAA